rnacentral:rRNA from 1 species
AUACGGAGGGUGCAAGCGUUAAUCGGAAUUACUGGGCGUAAAGAGUACGUAGGUGGUUUGUUUAGUCAGAUGUGAAAGCCCCGGGCUCAACCUGGGAACUGCAUUUGAAACUGGCAAGCUAGAGUAUGGUAGAGGGGGGUAGAAUUCAUAGUGUAGCGGUGAAAUGCGUAGAUAUUAUGAGGAAUACCGGUGGCGAAGGCGGCCCCCUGGCCCAAUACUGACACUGAGGUACGAAAGCGUGGGUAGCGGACAGGAUUAGAUACCCCGGUAGUCC